AGUCCUCUGCAGAGGGAGCCAGACAGAACAAGGGUUAGGAGGCAACUCACAAUAGCUGAGCGAGUAAUCGUCGACUUACGAAAUAUAAAUUCAGCGGCACUAGUGAUCACCGUUGGUUACGGAAUAAUCUGGCACCGAGUAGUGGGGAGACCGGGGUAUGUAGACUGCAGGUGAUGAGAUGAUGGAAGGCAGGUGCGCUACUCUCCACGUCCAUGUCUCCACGCCCUUGGCCACACCCACGAGGAGAGGGCAGCUGCUGUGGAGCCUCUGGACUGGGUUUCCCGUAUGACCUGUCUGAUACCUGUCACACACCCGCAGCACAUUGAGAUAAUCAGUGGCGGGUAAAAGCCCUGGUUCCCUCCCCUGUCGCUGCCAGAUUGUUUUAUCCUUCAGUGAUCAGUCUGCUCCUGGAUACAGUCCCUGGCCUCAGCGCGACCCAGCCUCCCACACCUCUGCCACCAGCCAACUGCACCUGGGCUGACAGUGUCAUGCACUCAUCUGAGGCUUCAAUCCUGUUUUCCACCUGAUGAACAUCACUGAUUUUGGGAAAAUGAGGAUUAGAUGUCCAUGUGAUAAUGUAGAACUGGGUAUGUGAAUAUUCGAAAAUAAGUAUCUGGAAGAUUUCCUUAACAUUAAUGCCAUCAGCUAUAAAAAGUUGAAGUUCAUGUUGGGUUAAAGCUUAUAGAGUUUUUGUUGAAGGUGUUAUGGUUGGUGCCAGUCCUUCCUUUCAUGCAUCUCAUUUCUCAUAUUUGUUGUUUCCUUGCUCCUUGAUUGAACAGAAGUCAUUCCUGUCCGCUAUCUUGCUGGCUGUCUGCCCCAGUGCUCAUAUUUUUCUAUUUUAUCUAACACAAGGCAACAAAAAAGAUGAGGAAACUCUCGAAAUAAAUAUUUUAAAAUCA